ACAAAAUGAACACUUCAGGACAAGAGGAACAGGACAAAGGUCUCCUUGCUCUUGGGGCUUUGCUAAAUCCUUUUGGAACUUAGCCCGCCGGCCUUACAAUCCCAGUCAACUUUACCCCUUGGUUUGGAGAUGGGGAAAAGCCUGCAAAUUCUUUUGAGACACCUUGUGACUCCGGUCUGCGACCCUCAACCUUUUGGGGUCCCUUCCUAACCUCAAUACUACUAUGUAUAUCUGAUGGUGUUACCCCCUAUUCAACUGCUGUUUGUCCUUCCUUCUCAAAGAGGCCCAGGACCUCUGGGAGGGGAUACUACAAUGGCCAGGGGAGUGAGGGGACAAGGUCACCAGCCUCACUGUCCCCUCCGGAGCCAUUUGGGUCCAGUGGCCAGACCUCAAUCAGGACCCCUGGAGACGGAGACCUGGCCCUUAGUAAGCAGCGGGUCUUCAAGAGCUCUCUCUGCCCCAGGCCGCAACCGUUCAGUGAUUAAGGCUAGCAAACAACUGAGGCAAAGAAUGGCCUCCUUCUCCUAGUCAAAAAAGAGGAAAAAAACCUAAAGAAAUAAGUCUGGGAGAAAGAGGUCAAAAAAGAGGAAAAAACUAAAGAAAUAAGUCUGGGAGAAAGAGGUCAAAAAAGAGGAAAAACUAAAGAAAUAAGUCUGGGAGAAAGAGGUCAAAAAAGAGGAAAAACCUAAAGAAAUCAGUCUGGGAGGGAGAGGUCAAAAAAGAAGGAAAAAACUAAAGAAAUAAGUCUGGGAGGGAGAGGUCAAAAAAGAGGAAAAAACUAAAGAAAUAAGUCUGGAAGAAAGAGGUCAAAAAAGAGGAAAAACCUAAAGAAAUCAGUCUGGGAGGGAGAGGUCAAAAAAGAAGGAAAAAACUAAAGAAAUAAGUGUGGGAGCGAGAGGUCAAAAAAGAGGAAAAAAACUAAAGAAAUAAGUGUGGGAGCGAGAGGUCAAAAAAGAGGAAAAAACUAAAGAAAUAAGUCUGGGAGGGAGAGGUCAAAAAAGAAGAAAAAACCUAAAGAAAUCAGUCUGGGAGGGAGAGGUCAAAAAAGAAGAAAAAACCUAAAGAAAUCAGUCUGGGAGGGAGAGGUCAAAAAAAGAAGAAAAAAACUAAAGAAAUAAGUGUGGGAGCGAGAGGUCAAAAAAGAGGCAAAAACUAAAGAAAUAAGUCUGGGAAAGAAAGAGGUCAAAAAAGAAGAAAAAACCCAAAGAAAUAAGUCUGGGAGAAAGAGGUCAAAAAAGAGGAAAAAAAUUAAAGAAAUAAGUCUGGAAGAAAGAGGUCAAAAAAGAAGAAAAAAUCUAAAGAAAUAAGUCUGGGAGAAAGAGGUCAAAAGAGAAGAAAAAACCCAAAGAAAUAAGUCUGGGAGAAAGAGGUCAAAAAAGAGGAAAAAACUAAAGAAAUAAGUCUGGGAGAAAGAGGUCAAAAAAGAGGGAAAAACUAAAGAAAUAAGUCUGGGAGAAAGAGGUCAAAAAAGAGGAAAAACCUAAAGAAAUCAGUCUGGGAAGGAGAGGUCAAAAAAAAAGAGAAAAAAACUAAAGAAAUAAGUCUGGAAGAAAGAGGUCAAAAAAGAGGAAAAACCUAAAGAAAUCAGUCUGGGAGGGAGAGGUCAAAAAAGAAGAAAAAAAACUAAAGAAAUAAGUCUGGGAGAAAGAGGUCAAAAAAGAGGAAAAAACUAAAGAAAUAAGUCUGGGAGGGAGAGGUCAAAAAAGAGGAAAAAACUAAAGAAAUAAGUCUGGGAGGGAGAGGUCAAAAAAGAAGAAAAAAACUAAAGAAAUAAGUGUGGGAGCGAGAGGUCAAAAAAGAGGAAAAAAACUAAAGAAAUAAGUGUGGGAGCGAGAGGUCAAAAAAGAGGGAAAAAACUAAAGAAAUAAGUCUGGGAGGGAGAGGUCAAAAAAGAGGAAAAAACUAAAGAAAUAAGUCUGGGAGGGAUAGGUCAAAAAAGAGGAAAAACCCAAAGAAAUAAGUCUGGGAGGGAGAGGUCAAAAAAGAGGAAAAAACUAAAGAAAUAAGUCUGGGAGGGAGAGGCCCUCAGGGCUUCUGGCCAAAGCAGAGAUGGCUGCAAUUCAUGUUCACUCAGGACCCAGGCAGUGACCCCGUGGGGCUUGGCCCGGGAUGGACUGGUAGCCAACAGUAAGUGUGGGAGCGGUUUGGGCUGAAGGCCUGUCCGCAAGGAGGAAAUCUAGCCAGGAAGCCCAAGAUUCUCCGAAGGUUUCAGCUAUUGGAAGGAAAAAAACAUUUUAAGAGCACCUGCAGGUAAGGGUCUGGUACCCUGUGUGCAAAGAGGGCAGGGAGGGAAGGCAGAGAGGAAGGUAAGGGAGAAAGGGGAUGAGGAAAGAAAGGAAGAAGGAAGGAAGGGAGAAGAAAUGGGAGGGAGGGAGGGAGGAAGGAAAGGAGGGAAGGGGGAAGGAAAGGAGGGAAGGAAUGGAGGGAAGGAAUGAAGGAAAGAAGGAAGGAAGGAAAGGAUGAAGAAAGGAGGGAAGAAAAGGAGGAAGGAAGGGAGGGAGGAUGAGAAAUGGAUGGACAUUUGGUUUCCACAGAGCUAGAAAAAUUAAAUUGGAAAAAUGAAACCCCCCAGAGCACCAGAGAAUGGGUUCUAGGCUGGCCCCUUUGCCCCCCCGGGGGCAGGGCCUGGCCAGGUCUGGGGAGGAGAAUCACCAAGUCCAUGAGACCCACGAUGAGCCUGGGGGAGGGCCUUGCUCUUCGGGACAGGAAUAAAAGGCAGCCUUUGCAGUCAUGGGUGAGGAGUUCUUGGGAGGACGUUUUGUUUCUUACAGAGGGAGAGAGGAAGAGGGGAGGGGGGAGGGGAGAUGGUGGGUUAUGGAAGACCCUGAGGACACCCACGGCCCCAAAGGGCAGCUCGGCUGGGAGACCUGGACCAGAGUUUAGUUUCCACAGUGACGAAAACUAGAGCAGCCGAGAAACGAAACAAGUUCGGCAAAGCCACUGAAACUCGGCGAUGGGGGCCGGCCCGGGACAAGGAACUAGCGGAAGGAACUGAGAUGGGGAGGGGGGCUGGGACUCGAAAGGGCUGGAGACUAAUUCCGGGUGGGCAAUCACUCACACUGGGGGCACGGGGAGAUGUAGUCAGAGACCACCUGCCAGGUUGGGGGAGCCGGGAUGAGUCACUGGGGGACACUCCCUGGGACCUCCCAUCACUGGGGCCUCGAGGGGACGGGCGCUUCAGGGAGGGGCAGGAGAGCCUCCCAGCUUAGACACCGCUCUCGAGGACGAAGGAGAAGAGCCUUUCCUGGAUCCGGCGGCGUCCCCAUGGGCCUGGGAGCAGGGCCCCCCACCCCAAGUGCCGCCGUCCGCGUCACAGCGACUCACCUUCACCCACCACCGGAGGGGGGGUCUUUCCCGUCCACAACCACCUUU